GGUGGUUUGGGUGUAGUCUAUUGUCUUCAGUUUUUUUGUUUUUUUGUUUGGGUCGGAUUGGAUGAGAUCUCGUGAGAUGUUGAAGCUCUUCAAUGGCGAUGACGAUUACAAGAAAAGAAAGCAAAGUCUGUAGGCUCGGGAUUCAUUCCCGAGUGGGUGAUUGGGUGAUCCGGAUGAGUUCUCGGUGUGUCCGAUUGAUGCUCUCUGUGGAAGGAUCUCCGUUGGUGAAGGUUUGUGCAGCGCUUAGCUCUGAUAUGACACCGUGUUGAUUCAGGCGAAUCCGUCGGAUGGCGUCACGUAUUUUGGGCUUAGGUCAGUGUUGGUGAUGAUGGUAUGGGCCU
rnacentral:lncRNA from 1 species